ensembl:lncRNA
AUGAAAGGACAAGAGCCACAGACAGAAAUGAUCCAGUUUCUCGCUGUUCCCUCAUUAUUGUUGUCACUGUUGGUUUGUUUUACAGCUGUGCCCAGGGGCAUCUGCCAGGACACAGGUCUGGCCCCACAUACUUGCAACAGGCAAAUUCCAGGAGCUUCAAUGAAACAAAAUCCAGUGUCGCAGCUGCCACGAGACCUGAGUUUUCACAACACUCCUGUUACCACACCUGAUCCUGUGUGCAGCCAUCAGCAAAGUCAAUGGCAACUCCAAGCUGUGCAGUCUGAGUCGAGCAGCAACGGGGCAAUCCUCUGUUCAAGGUCUGGGAAGGGACAGGAGCAACACCUGGAGUCAGGGGCUGUCUUAGGAGAGGAACCCCACUGUGGCACAUUCCAGCCAUGAUGGUAUUUCAGAUCACCUGAGUCUUUGUUUUUUCCAACACCUCUUUGAUCUACAAACUGCCCCUCAGAUGACUGAGACACUGACCCGAGCACUGAUGAAUUGGUUUUACCAGCCCUCUGCUGCUAUGAUGCUGCCAUGAUGCUUCCAGGUGCAGUAAUGUAGGAGGAGGGAGCUCCCAGAGGCCAAUGCAUGAGGCUGCGGCUCACUGUGCAGUGGUGGAGUGGUGAAGGUGAUGGUUAACAGGCAUCUAUGCUGGGGUGUGGGGAAACCCGCUGUGCAUUGCUGCUCUUCCAGCUGAAUUUUUUGACCCUGAAAUGAGCAACAUGACAGAACAGGCAUCGUGGAGAUGAUACGAUUAAUGAUGGGAGGUAACUCAGCCCAUCAGCAAGGAUUAUUUAUAGCCCCUUAGACAAGAGAAAUGUAAAUCCUGAAACCAAACCCUCAAUUUCCAUCUUAUCUUCUUCAUGUGCUUUGUUUUCCCAGAUUUCAAUAUUAAACAUCAGAACAGCAAAUGUCAUUGGACAGUUUCCCGCUGUGUGAUUUUCAUUCACCCAUUUCUCUGUCGUAGCUCCUCCCUCCCCCUGCCCUCUCCCCCAGAAAUCACUGUAACUCAAGGGAAAAGAGUCAGGAUUCUGGCAUAACCUGUUCCCAAUUAACAAGUGAAGUCUUGCCCCCACUGACACUAAUGGCACAUUUCUCUUGCCUUCAUUUGGGCCAGAACCCAGGAAAGCAGAGCAGCUGGUGGAACCUGGGCAGUUCCCCACUCACUCCAUGACUUUGCUCUUGUCGUGCUCUGUUUCUUAGUGUUGCCCUUCCAAGCCACUAAUGAGGCAACACAGCGUUGAGCGUGGCUCACCCUGGGGCUGGGAUCUCAUGGCAGGAGGGUACGAUCCAGUUCACAAUGAGAUGGAUACAUUAAAUCUUUUUACUCCAUGCCAAGAUGAGCCGAUCUUCCUGCUAUCAAAGGCACUGAGAGCCACAGCCCAUAGAAGUAGUUUUAUGUGCUCAUUGAUACAGAAUGGAUUGUCACUAAACCUUUCAGGCAUUGUUGUCAAGGUCAAUAAUGCUGAUCUGUUUUAGCACAACGGAGGGGGGUAAAAUGGGAUUCUAUCAAGACACGACCUUUAAAAGACCUCAUCUUUUGAGAUGCAAAACAAAGCAAAUCGCGGUAAGGAUAUGAUUUUGUUACCUUCAGUCUGAUCCGAGCUGGCAGUAAUUAUACACAUUAGCAAGAAAACAGCCCAGGAAAUGGUUUGGUUGUUAGUGAGAUGCUGCAAACAACAAAACAAGCUGCAUGCUAAUUUGAUGAGUUCACAUAAAGGCAUUCAAAGUACAUUUUUCCCUCUGUGAUUUUUAGCAAUAUUCUGCCACCUUCCUUUUCAUGCAGCGUGUCCAACUCCGCUCCUCUUGUGGCUGCCCUUGACCUUCCCUCCUGCUUCUGUUACCCACUGCUGCUCUUCUGCUGCUUUAGGGCUGACCAUUAACAGGCUGCCAAGAGAGCUGUGGGUGCCCCAUCCCUGGAGCUGCUCAAGGCCAUGAAUGGGCCCUGGGCAGCCUGAGCUGGUGGGGUUAAAACUCAAUGAUCCCUUCCAACCCAACCAAUCCAUGGUUUUCUCUUUGCAGCUCUGCCUCCACACAGACCUUGGGUCUGGAAUGGGAGCUCUGCCCCACAGUGCCAUGAAGCAUUCAGGGGGCUCGUGCACAACACCCCCAUACAUUGUAUGAAUCUUCAGCCAGGUAAAGCAGAGACUGUGGCAGAGGGCCCAGCCAGAUUCACUGUAUAUGCUGAAAGCAGUUUAGUUGUUUUAAGGUUAACCUCAAAUCACUGCUGAGCUCUCUCUUGCUGUUGAUACAGACACCAAAAAUGAGCUUUUAGUUCUUGCACAGAACCCCUCCCAGGUUCCUGGGGUGCAAGCACCUUUCUCCAGUUUUCUGUUGAAAGCAAGCAGGAUUUGUUGUGCUGCUUUGCAAUUUAGCACUGCCAGAUAUGGAUCGGAACAUGACCUUACAACCUUUUUUUAGGUACAUGAUUCUUUCAUCACGGCUUUUCCUCCCUUCAUCAGAAUGAUGAUAAAUGGGGAUGAAGUUACAUGUCUAAACCCACGAUUCUCUGCCAAGUCCUUUAACUCACAUGCAUUACGUUAGUCAGCAUCUGUAGACAUUAUAAUGUCUAAUAAAAAGAUCUGAUAUGCAAAACCA